rnacentral:rRNA from 1 species
UACGUAGGAGACGAGCGUUGUCCGGAAUUACUGGCGUAAAGCGCGUGUAGGCGGAUGGGCAAGUCUGCUGUGAAAGCUCCUGGGCUUAACCGGGAGUGGUCGGUGGAAACUGCCAAUCUGGAGGACGGUAGAGGUAGGUAGAAUCCCGGUGUAGUGGUGAAAUGCGUAGAGAUCGGGAGGAAUACCUGUGGCGAAGGCGGCCUACUGGGCCGGACCUGACGCUGAGACGCGAAGGCGUGGGGAGCGAACGG